rnacentral:ncRNA from 1 species
UACAUAGCGUGUGCGGUUCUCCUGACUGAUCUGCCGUACACAGCUUAAAAGAAGGAGGUUCAGUCUUUCCCCUGCUUGGGGUGCAGCAUUGUGGAGACGUGCUGUAAUGCGGCGAUCCCAGGAUCCCGCGAGAGUCCCGAUUGCGGAGGCACGGGGCCCGAAGCAAGUAUAUGGCA